GAAACUAAAUAAUUUAUAUAUUAAGGGUUAUAAAAUGAUAGAAAUAAAAAAUUAAGGUGAUAUACACAUGUUUUAUAUUAAUGGAACCUAUGAAGGUUGUUGAUAUAUUUUUAACUAGUUGAAUACUUUAUAAAUUAUAUUACUAUAUUUGUCAUUUCAUAUUUUUAUGUGUAGAUACUUACCUAAAUAGAUACUGUUAAUAUUUUUUUCUCAACUUGUUUCUGUUAUAGUAUAUUUGAAAUUUAAAAGACUGUUUAGGUAACCUAUCAUUUGAUAUAUAUAUUUUUGAAAAUCUAUUCCAUUACCCGAGUAGCAUUAUUUUGGUUCACGGUCGGUUCAAGCGACCCACGAGUGCUGGGAGAGUUCUAUGUUCAAUAAUGAACCGUGUAAUUUUUUAUAAGUUCCAGGAAAGUUCAGCGUUCAAUAAAUAACCGAACAAUUUUUAGUAAGUGCUGGGACCGUUCAAUGUUCAAAAUAAUUGUACGGAUUCAUCAAAGUUCUUUCAUUAUAAUGAAAGAAUCGUUGUAACGGUUAUAGCCAUUCAAAUAGUUUUAUUCACUUAUAUUGUUAUUAAACAUAUUAUCCCUUGAUUAGUACAUUAAUAAAAAAAACUUUAAAAUAAUAGUUAUAAAUUAUUUUCAUUGAGACUAUAGCGCAAAUUUAACAUACGAACUUUUGGCGGAAUAACCAGACGUGUCAGUAACCGUUGACCAACAGCUUUAGUUCGCGCGAUUUUUAUUUGUUAUUUAAUUUUUACUGUGACAUUUUUUCAAAUUAUCAACGAUCGUUUUACUCUCUUUACAAAUUAUGUUUUGAGACAUUCGCCAUUUUCACAGCGACUAGAUAACUUGUCAAGACUGCUCUUUAUCCCUGUUCACUCUCACAUAUAUAUUUAACUGAAAAGUUCAAUAAAAUGUAUAUUAUUUUAAAUAAAAUUAUUCUUUGGGAGCAUGUUUUAUUUAACUUGAAAGGUUGUUCUAUUGAAGUAUUCUUAUCUUCCCUUCUUAUUUAUAUUAUUUGGGAUACAAUUACUAGAGCCUAUAUUAAUACUGAAAAAUGUUUUGUUGCUUAAAGUGGGUACCAUUAAAAGUUUCAGUGCAUAUACGAGAACAGCAUUUGAUUUUUGUAUGACAAGAGAAAUGGCCGCAAAUUUUAGUUUUUGUGACAACACCAAACAAGCUUUUAAUAAGCUUCACAUUUUUUAGAUGCUAUGUCUGGCUAAAUCAUAAUACCUGAACACGAAAGAACAUUUAACAAAAUAAUAGCUAAUAUUUUAAAGCAUUCUGGUAAUAAAGCAUCACAGCAAUAAAAUCCUUUUUUUUUUUUUUUUUUCAAUCAACAUUUCAUUUUUUUGUAAAUGAUUUUUAAAAUUUAUUCACUUAGAUUAUUUCACAGUUUUUUUAUUAAUAGUGAAAACAAAAUA